UACGUAGGUGGCAAGCGUUGUCCGGAUUUACUGGGCGUAAAGCGCGCGCAGGCGGUUCGUUAAGUCCGGUGUGAAAGCUCCCGGCUCAACUGGGAGAGGUCAUCGGAUACUGGCGGACUUGAGGAAGGUAGAGGAAGGUGGAAUUCCCGGUGUAGUGGUGAAAUGCGUAGAGAUCGGGAGGAACACCAGUGGCGAAGGCGGCCCUCUGGGCCUUUCCUGACGCUGAGGCGCGAAAGCGUGGGGAGCGAACCGG
rnacentral:rRNA from 1 species